rnacentral:rRNA from 1 species
GCAUAUCAAUAAGCGGAGGAAAGAAACCAACAGGGAUUGCCUUAGUAACGGCGAGUGAAGCGGCAACAGCUCAAAUUUGAAAGCUGGCCCUUUUAGGGUCCGCAUUGUAAUUUGUAGAGGAUGAUUCGGCGAGGGCUCCUGCCUAAGUCCCCUGGAACGGGGCGUCAUAGAGGGUGAGAAUCCCGUAUGCGGUAGGUUGCCUUAGCCAUGUGAAUCUCCUUCGACGAGUCGAGUUGUUUGGGAAUGCAGCUCUAAAUGGGAGGUAAAUUUCUUCUAAAGCUAAAUACCGGCCAGAGACCGAUAGCGCACAAGUAGAGUGAUCGAAAGAUGAAAAGCACUUUGGAAAGAGAGUUAAAAAGUACGUGAAAUUGUUGAAAGGGAAGCGCUUGCAACCAGACUUGUCCGCAGUUGCUCAGCCGGUCUCCUGACCGGCGUACUCUUCUGCGGCCAGGCCAGCAUCAGUUCGGGCGGUCGGAUAAAGGCCUCGGGAAUGUAGCUCCUCUCGGGGAGUGUUAUAGCCCGGGGUGGAAUGCGGCCAGCCUGGACUGAGGAACUCGCUUCGGCAAGGAUGCUGGCGUAAUGGUUGUAAGCGGCCCGUCUUGAAACACGGACCAA